rnacentral:ncRNA from 2 species
AUGAAUCACUAGGGGUGCCUUGAGCUGAGAUUAUACCCGUAGAACCUGAUUUGGUUAAGACCAACGUAGGAAAGUGAUUGUACCAUCAA